UACAGAGGGUGCAAGCGUUAAUCGGAAUUACUGGGCGUAAAGCGUAUGUAGGCGGACUUUUAAGUCGGGUGUGAAAUCCCAUGGCUCAACCAUGGAAUUGCAUUCGAAACUGGAAGCCUUGAGUGUGGGAGAGAUUGGUAGAAUACCUGGUGUAGUGGUGAAAUACGUAGAUAUCAGGUGGAAUACCGGCGGCGAAGGCGGCCAAUUGGCCCAACACUGACGCUGAGAUACGAAAGCGUGGGGAGCGAACAGG
rnacentral:rRNA from 1 species